rnacentral:rRNA from 1 species
AGUAACACGUAAGUAACCUUCCUCUAAAUCUGGAAUAACCUUGCCAACGCGAGGCUAAUACCGGAUGUGGUCAUGAUUUCUCAUGAAGUUAUGAUCAAAGAUGACCUCUAUUUAUAAGUUAUCGUUUAGAGAUGGACUUGCGCCUCAUUAGCUAGUUGGUAGGGUAACGGCCUACCAAGGCUUUGAUGGGUAGCCGGCCUGAGAGGGUGUACGGCCACAUUGGGACUGAGAUACGGCCCAGACUCCUACGGGAGGCAGCAGUAGGGAAUUUUGCGCAAUGGACGAAAGUCUGACGCAGCAACGCCGCGUGAGUGAUGAAGGUCUUCGGAUUGUAAAGCUCUGUUGAGUGGGAAGAAAAGCUUCGAGAAUAACACCUCGAGGCCUGACGGUACCACUUGAGGAAGCCCCGGCUAACUACGUGCCAGCAGCCGCGGUAAUACGUAGGGGGCAAGCGUUGUUCGGAAUCACUGGGCGUAAAGGGAGCGUAGGCGGAGAAAUAAGUUAGGAGUUUAAUAUACGGGCUUAACCCGUAAUCUGCUCCUAAUACUGUUUUUCUUGAGUAUGGGAGAGGGAGAUGGAAUUCCAGGUGUAGCGGUGGAAUGCGUAGAUAUCUGGAAGAACACCAGCUGCGAAGGCGGUCUCCUGGCCCAAUACUGACGCUGAGGCUCGAAAGCUAGGGGAGCAAACAGGAUUAGAUACCCUGGUAGUCCUAGCCGUAAACGAUGGACACUAGAUGCUGGAGGAGUCAAUCCUUUCGGUGUCGUAGCUAACGCGUUAAGUGUCCCGCCUGGGGAGUACGCUCGCAAGGGUGAAACUCAAAG